AUGGCGAAAUGCAGCAAGAUCCACAACAUCGUCUUGCUCCGGCAGACCCUGCGACGGUGGCGCUCCCGUGCCGCGGCGCGCGCUGCUGCGGGCGACGGCGCGGUGUCGGUGCCGGCGGGGCACGUGGCGGUGUGCGUGGGCGGCGCGUCGCGGCGGUUCGUGGUGCGGGCGGCGCACCUGAACCACCCCGUGUUCCGGGAGCUGCUCCGGCGGGCGGAGGAGGAGUACGGGUUCCCGUCCGGCGCGUGCGGCCCCAUCGCGCUCCCCUGCGACGAGGACCGCUUCCGGGACGUCCUCCGCCGCGUCUCCUCCGAGGAGCGCCGCGGCGUGCCGGCCGCCAACAGCCGCGACGUGGCGACGCGGCCGUUGCUUCAGAGGGUGGCGGCGGAGGAGCUCGUGUGGUAA
rnacentral:rRNA from 1 species